rnacentral:tRNA from 1 species
GGAAGAGCAUCGCUCCCGGUGGGGUGCGCGGCCUUCAAAGCCGUUGAGGCGCGACUACGCGCCUGGUGGGUUCGACUCCUACCUCUUCCGCCA